GACGAACGCCGGCGGCGUGCCUAAUACAUGCAAGUCGAGCGGACUAAUGGGAGCUUGCUCCCGUUAGCUAGCGGCGGACGGGUGAGUAACACGUGGGCAACCUACCUGUAAGACUGGGAUAACUUCGGGACACCGGUGCUAAUACCGGAUGACAUAAAGGAACUCCUGUUCCUUUAUCGAAAGAUGGCUUCGGCUAUCCCUUACAGAUGGCCCCGCGGCGCAGUAGCUAGCGGGUGAGGUAACGGCUCACCAAGGCGACGAUGCGUAGCCGACCUGAGAGGGUGAGCGGCCACACUGGGACUGAGACACGGCCCAGACUCCUACGGGAGGCAGCAGUAGGGAAUCUUCCGCAAUGGACGAAAGUCUGACGGAGCAACGCCGCGUGAGCGAUGAAGGCCUUCGGGUCGUAAAGCUCUGUUGUUAGGGAAGAAUAAGUGCUAGUUGAAUAAGCUGGCACCUUGACGGUACCUAACCAGAAAGCCACGGCUAACUACGUGCCAGCCGCCGCGGUAACAC
rnacentral:rRNA from 1 species